ACGAAGGGGGCUAGCGUUGCUCGGAAUUACUGGGCGUAAAGCGCACGUAGGCGGCUUUGUAAGUCAGAGGUGAAAUCCCGGGGCUCAACUCCGGAACUGCCUUUGAGACUGCAUCGCUCGAAUCCGGGAGAGGUGAGUGGAAUUCCGAGUGUAGAGGUGAAAUUCGUAGAUAUUCGGAAGAACACCAGUGGCGAAGGCGGCUCACUGGACCGGUAUUGAUGCUGAGGUGCGAAAGCGUGGGGAGCAAACAGGA
rnacentral:rRNA from 1 species